AGAGAGAAAGAACAGCCGCCGAAACCAGUGCAGGCGGCUGUAGCAUCAGCCGUUGCCUUCACACUAGGUGCAGAUGCUUUCAUCGGAAACCGUUAAGGUGAGGAUAUGUAUUGUGGUGGCAGUGAGUUUGGCGGUGGCGAUGUUUAGAGGUGUUGGGGAAGACUUCUGUGGUGAGGUCUGGUACUAGGGUGGUGAUCGGAGGGUGGAUGGCCGUGGCCAUCACUUUUGGACUGACCUAGUUGAUUGGCUCAAAUGGACUGCAAGUGUGAUCCCUUGAUUUCAAUCCUCUGUUAGCUGAUUCUGGCCUCGCAUUUUCAGGAUCAAAGCUAUGGUGGACUCUACUUAAUAUUCAGAGGUAGGAGGAGCAACUCAAUAUGCUGCAACUUCAGUUGAAUCGAAUUCAAGUCUUGGGUAAAACAGCUAUGGGGGCCAGGGGUGUGAGCAAGUGGAUAUGAUGCAACUUCAGUUGGUGGGUUGAUUGUCGGGGUGAGUGAGUAAGGAGCAAAUCCUUCUGCUGGUUGAAUUGGCAAUAAAGUACUUCAUUUACCAUUAUGCAACAUCCCUUGAAGCACUCAAGGGAUGUUGUGCUUUGUUCUGCUGUUUGGAUAGCCAAGAAGGAUAUGAUGUAAGUCUUAUUUGCUGCAUAAUAGGAAUUGGGUGUUCUUAGUUAAAUUCACUUUUUUUUGGUAAUGAAGAGUGUCCCGAUGAACCAGACUAAUCUCUCCAGCCCUUUCCAUGCGUUUGCAUAAGGUAAGGUGGUCCUAAGGACAAAUCGCUGCUGAUGGGGUGUUCUUAAUUUGAAAGGAUGUAGAUUGUGUUUGAGUUGUUGCUAAUUUUUGGGUUUGAAUGGAUCGGAUAAAUUGGUGAAUUUGGAGGUUAGAGGAGCAAUCAAUGCGGUAGAGGCAUGUGCACAGAUAGAUAGCAUACAGAAGAUUGUGUACAAUUCUUCUCUAACUGCAGCCAUAUGGAGAGAGGAUAUUAGCUCAGAGAAGGAUGUAGAUGAAAAGUACAGGAAAAAGAAGGUAUAUGUGGAUCCAGUUAAAA